rnacentral:rRNA from 1 species
UACGUAGGGUGCGAGCGUUAAUCGGAAUUACUGGGCGUAAAGCGUGCGCAGGCGGUUUUGUAAGACAGAUGUGAAAUCCCCGGGCUCAACCUGGGAACUGCGUUUGUGACUGCAAGACUUGAGUAUGGCAGAGGGGGGUAGAAUUCCACGGUGUAGCAGUGAAAUGCGUAGAGAUGUGGAGGAAUACCGAUGGCGAAGGCAGCCUCCUGGGCCAACACUGACGCUCAUGCACGAAAGCGUGGGGAGCAAACAGG